rnacentral:snRNA from 2 species
UUACUUACCUGGACGGGGUCUAUGACUGAUCAACAAGAGCCAUGGCCUAAGUCAGUGGCCUCCAUUGCACUUGGGAGGAGCAUUGGCUUACCAUCUCCUCAAGUAGGAGAGUGGACGUCAUAAUUUGUGGAAGAGGGGUACGUGUUCGCGCGGUCCUGCC